CUUCCUUCCUGCGCCCAGCCAUCUUCUCUUUGCCCAGCCGCUCCUUCCUCUCGAUCUCCCAUGGCUGAUGCGUGCCCUGCACCAUCUCCAGCUCCUUCAUGGAAUGAUCCCCUCCCUGCUCGAUCCCACAUGCCCCUAGCGCGCGAGCUCCACCUUCCAUGGCCAGCCGCCGUCGACCCUGCCAUGGACGCUGAAGUCCCUCUGCCCGUUGCCAUAGCCGCUGUGCCGAGCUUCAUCUUUGGCCGUGCUCGCGCGCUGCUCGUCCAUGGCGGCUUCCCCCUGCUGGCAGCCGUCCGGCCGAGCUCCAUCCCUGCCCAUCUCCCUGCAUCGCGCGCCCUCUCCCUGCUCAAGCUCGCCCUUGGCGCUCGCCCGUGAUGCCUGCGCUCGGCUCUGCCCAUCUUCCUCUGCCGCGCGCCGUACGCCCAGCCGAGCGUCUCCACCGCACGCUCCUCCUUCCUCCGAACCGAGCUCCUCUCCCAUGGCCGACCGUCGUGUGCCCCUGCAGCACGGAUCCCUUCCUCCCUGCCCUCUGCACGCGUGCUGCUCCAGCUCGCCUGGGCGCGGUCUCACCUUGCUGCCACAACCGCGCCUACUGCCGCGCCCGGCCUGCUCCCUUGUGCGCGCUCUGUUUCCUCGCCGAGCUCGUCCCUGCGCGCCGAGCUCGCGUGCAGCUCGCCCAGCUCGGAGUUUCCCUGUCCAUCUCACCACGCUCGGUCUCUAGCUCCCUGUGCGUCUCUGUUCAUGGUCGUGGUGAUGCUAUGGCGUGGCGACGUCGUAUACGUUGCGACAGCCGUCCUGGCCGCGGGGCAGUCCGCGCCAUAGAGUUCGCCCGACCGUGAUCUCGCUUUACUCCUCACGUCGUUGCUCGCCGAGUCCUUCCCCAGUUCGCGCCACAAAAUUCGCUCGGUCACGGUCUCGUCAAACUGUGAAGCUUCCUUGCCGUGCGCUCUGGCAUCGGCUGCCGCCGAUUCCGCCAUAAAGUUCACGAGCGCUCCUUGCUCACUUUAUUUCGCAGUGAACAAUUUUUCCACGUUUCAAUUCUGUGUUGCUUGCCCCGUGUGUGCUCGCUCCUCAUCCAUCGGGUUUCGGCAUGUUCGCGUUUACCGUCGAGUCGUCGAACCCGUCAUCCCCUGCUCGACCCCCACCUCACCAGCUCGCUCUAGACUUCAAUCGAAGGUCGUCGUCAUUCCGUACGUUGUCAAGAAAUCCCAAGCGUCAGGUGAAGACGAAGCUAGCUGCGUGAUAUUUACCAAGUGCUCGAGAGAAGGCCUGAGCAAGAAUCAGCAACGUUUCCUUGGAAUUUUAAUUGAAUCGGUAACUGUUCUCUAGUUCGCUAUUUCUUUAAUUGAUUGAGUCGAUGAAUGGAAUAAAUUAAUGUGCUAGUGUGCUGCUCACUAGGUGCUCGAUUAAUUGCGUGAGUCCCUGAACUCUCGUCGACUUCGCGGUUCUCGCGAUUAUCGAGCCAGAUUCAGUUAUGGCGAGUUAUUUCGCUAUUUCAGUCAGUUAGCUGAAUUGGUGGAGUGAGUAGAAUAUUAGUAGGCAUGUGUGAUCAUGAAAUAUUUUAAUCACUUAUAAAGAGGUGUAUAUAUUUACGAUAAAAAAUGUUUGAUAUAGGAACAAAAAUUUGAUCGCUACUUUCAGUAAAAAGAAUAUUGGUAGGUAUAUAUAUAGUAUGAUUGUGUUCGUGAUGGUGAAGUAGUUGUGUCGCGUGAAGCUUAGGAUUGAAAUAUAAAUCAUACAAGGGAAUGUUGUGGUGGACGCGCAUGUCGAUUAGGCUUAAAUUGGUUCUUUGUUGUGGUGUGAGGAGAAUUAGUAGCGAGAAGAAUUAAAUCGGUGCUUCGUAUCUAAGGAGUGGUCGAAGUAACGUUGUGGAAAGUAGGUCUUGUGUUUGUGUUUCUAGUGUCUUGUCGAAGGAUAGUAUGUGGCGGGUUUCGUCUAAUUGUAUGGAGUCGAUGCCCUGCUGUGAUAUUCAUGAUGCUUAAUGCUUGUUAAUUGAUUUUAAUGCUUGGUUUUAAGUGUUUCAUCCUUUUUAGUGUAGAUUAUCUAUCUUAUACUCUUUAUACUCAUGCUCAUACAUGUGCAUCGUGCAUCCCAUGAGGUACGUUAAUUGAUCGUGUGAUGCGGAAGACGAGCCAAGUCGACCCCAAGCGUGGACUAAUCCGCAGGAUAAUGCUGAUGGAUGAACCUGCCUGAUCAAGUGCUAGGACAAGGAUGAUCGUCAAGUGGUCGUCGUCUAACAACACUAACCUAGUGUUAUUCAGGCAAGCCUCGGUGCAUUUGCCACCUCCUUGAUGUUUUAAAAUUUUUAUCACCUUGUUUGAUGCAUUAGGUGAUAGGAGUUGUGUGCUAAACCGUUGAUGCAUUUCCUUCCUUGAAAAAUUAAUUACAUGUAAUACCUACUUUGUAAGAAAAUCUAAAAGGAGAAAUGAAAUUCAUGUAUAUAUAUGUGUGUUAUCUCUACUUGUCAUUUCAUGUGGACACCUCACUUAUACAAAUGAAUAAGUAAUAAAAGGCACUCAAACAAAUCAUGCAUCAUGCUGGACUUUAUUUUGUGUGCAUUUUUGAGACAAUAUAAAAAUAAUGUAAAAAAAUAUUAAAGUCCGAAGUGGAAUUUAAAAUCUAAAAGAGAAUUCUAGAAUUUCGAAAAGAGAGCACUAGAUAUCAUGAAAUAAGUAUUAAAAUAGAUAAAUUUAUCCAUACCAUGUCUAGGAUGAAUGAUUAAUGAGAAAACAAAUCUACCAGAAAGUUUGAAUUUGAAUGACAUUUAAACUUUAUGAAUUUGAAAAAUCUA